ACGCAGUAACAGAAGUUGAGGAUGAGGUGAAGAGCUCCAAGAUCGAGUAGAAGACAAAGCAGUAGUAGAUCGGAUUAUUUAAGCUUUUUCGGAUGUUUUAAUUAUCAGCAUUUAAUAUUGUUCUCCUUUUUUAAUUUGGUUUUGAUUUUUAAGUUUUCGAUGUUUUGAGGCAUGGAAAGCAGCUGAGAUAAUAAAAGGAGAAGUUCAGCAGGAAGAGGAUAACGCUCAGCCAAACGAACCAGGAGAAUCAGAGGAAGAAGAUGAUCCU
rnacentral:lncRNA from 1 species